AUUUCGGAGUGGUCAUGGCAGGUUAAGACAUGCGGAAUCUGCCAUUUGUUUGGGUGUGCUACCGAUCCUAACCCUAGGUCUGCUGCCUCGCCUCCGUCCCUUCUCCACUGAUGCGCCCGGUGGCUGCAGCGUGGCCGUGAUGCAGGUGACGAGGUCCAAUUUCAACGCGGCGCUGGAGGGCCUUAGGGCCUGCGUAGAGGAGUCGGACUUCGUGGCCGUUGACCUUGAGAUGACCGGCGUGACGAGUGCCCCAUGGAGGGACUCGUUCGAGUUUGACCGAUCCAAUGUCCGUUACCUUAAGCUGAAGGACUCCGCUAAGAAGUUCGCUGUCGUGCAGUUCGGUGUCUGCCCCCUUCCGCUGGGAUUCAUCCAAGGGCUCCUUCUUCGCCCAUCUACAUAACUUCUAUAUCUUUCCACGGAAUGAGUUGCCACUUCAUGGGCCACCUGAUGAUUUCCUAUGGCAAGUAACAUCCAUCGACUUCCUUGCUAAAUGCCAAUUUGACUUCAAUGCAUGCAUAUAUGAAGGUGCUUUUCUCAAUCAAGUUCUUCGCAUCCUACUAUACAUACAGUGUUGCCUUUCCAUCAUACCACUAAAAGAUAAGUCUCAAUUAGUCGUUCUAUCUACUUAGUCAUUUAUUAAAUCUGGAGAGGCAAGGGGACUCCUUCCAUUGCUUGUUGGGUGACUGUGGGUUCACAUGCCCUUUUUAUCUGUUAGCAGUUUCUUGUGUUGUGCCAUAGAACUCAUCAGUUGUAGUUACCAGUGUAUAUUUGAUGUUCGACUUAUUUAAAUCUUAAGCAUUUGUUAAUCCCAUGAGGAUUCUGCUUCUCUGAAUAACUGGUGACAAAUUUUACAAUGCCUUGUGUCAAUAAAAUUUAUCUUCAUUUUUAACUUGCUAUGUGUAAAGAUGCAUUAAUUGUUAGAUACCAGUUUCCUUUUCUAACAAAAGCUAAUAAUUACAAGUUGUGAAAAAGCACUUCAAUGACCUCAUGUGUGUUCGUGUUGUUGAUGAGGACAACUCAUGGCAAAGGAGGGUAGUCUAUGUCGACACAAAUAAAGAUAAGGCUGUAUUGGCAAAAGGUGGAACCACCACCCUAGCGGUCCCCUGGCCCCGACCCCACAAGAUUCCAGAGGGAGUAAAUCACGGUUAAUGCUGGGCAGGAUAGGUGACUGGGGGUCGAAGGAAUUUUUGGCGCAGCAGACCAGGGUUUUAUCCCCGAGUGCAACUGGCGACCUUCGACCCCACGACUUCAUUAGCAAGCUGCAGGCAUCUAACCAGCUGAUCCAGCUCGUGGGGGCAAGAUAAGGCUGUAUUGAUGAAAGAUGUCCUUGAAGAUCUGAGAAAAAAUGCAGAAAAAAGAAUCGGCAUGUUGUUGAUCUUCUUGCAUCAACAGGAAAAUUGAUUGUUGGUCAUAAUUGUCUUCUAGUAUCAUGCAGGAUACCAAGAGCAAACGUUGCAUUAGCCACAACAACAAAGAGCAAAUGUUGGAUUCAAAACCAUCUUUUAAUCUUUUGCUUGAUUUUCUCAAUAAAAUUGGUUGGUUCAUUAAUCUGUACAAGAGAAGCAAUUUAUCUCAUGAAAUUCGAAGACAGGGAGGGCAAAAAGAAGAAAUUGAAGGCAUGCAUGCUAUUAGCUCGAGGAUGGAGGAACAAAUUAUUGAAAGGAAAAAAAACUUGUUAUUACAUAAAGUAGACAGAGGAAAGAAAAUUGUAUUGAGGAAGGUAGGCAAAGAGAAGAAAAUCUCAAGGAGAUGAUUCAGAAAUGAUUCAAGAAAUGGAAUAUACAAAUCAUUUAUAUCUAGAAGAAUUUGGUCUUUAUAGUU